UCCCCUCUGACCAGCAGGACCGAGUUUUCAUGGAGCCGUCUGCUGGGAGGUCGGAGCUAGAUUACAGGGCACUCAGAGGUGUGCUCCUGACUGAUACACUAGAAACGGCUUUUUUUUUUUUUUAAUCAGUGGUGUGCAUGUGCUGGAGAUGACAAACGUGUGUGUCCGGGUACCCGGGGACGUAUUCCUCAACUGCAUGACUGUCCAAACGGCGGCUGACUUGUCAGCAGCUUGCUGUUUGCAGCCUAUUUAUUUGUAUUUUCUCAACAGAUGUUAAGGUACAACUGUGUUUUUCUCCCUGGUAUCUAAAAACUAUAGUUCUUAAGUCGAACAGUUGUGAAGAUGUCUCUUCUUCGUUGUGUAGAGAAUUGGUGUUCUCGCCGCCUUGGCAAGCUGAAUGUCAUGUACAAGGUCUGACUUCGCUGCUUUGCCUCAUCGGACCAACCAGCCCGGUUCACCCCUUACCAAAAACAGCUCCUUGAAAGUACUGUUCUCCUUCAGUGGCGUGUAGUUCUCUGAUCAAGACACCUCAUUCCAAUGAAAUCUGCCUUUGAAAAAUUUAAUAUAUUUUAAAUUAUUUUAAAAGAAAUGCAACAUCUUAUCCUUUGGCUUUCUUACUAGGUGCUUUGUGGAGGCCAGUGUUAACGUGAUAAAACUUGUUGCAAAAGUACAAGAGUCUCCUCUACCACUUUUGUUGCUGAAGAAAAACAUUUCUUUUCAAGAUGAGAGGCUUUCAUUGAAGGAAAAGUUAAAAAGCUUUCGGCUCACUGUUGCAUUUUUCCCACUAAGAAAAAAAAUACCCACCUUUUAAAACAAUCUGAGAAGCUGACACCUUUAUAGAGAGCAGCCUCCGAAGUAAGCUUGUUCUGUGAUAGCGGAGAGGGGGAAGGCUUUUUCACAUAAACGCAAGGUAAGUCAGCAUCUUUCUAACUGGUGAAGGAAAGAGUAGCUCGUAAACAGCCAACGUGCAAGCUGCUUUAUUUUUAUGGAGAAGAACACUCAAAAGGGCAGCCUGUUUGCUGUGAAAGAAACUGCUACCCUGUCCACAGGGCCCCGUCCUUCCCGCACGUGUCGGUGCCCGGCCCGGCCCCGGGCUCAUCUGCCCUGCCUGCGUUAACAAGGGAGUACUGUGAGGCCUUGCCCCCCGCGGGCGUAAGAUGACGCUUUGCUGUCUCACCACAAUUAGGAACCUGCUUGUAGAGGAGAAAUAAAAAGACGUUUUUAAAGGAAGACAGUUAACUGAGCCCGUUUAUAGGAGUACAAUAGUUUGGACCAGAAAUCGACGCACACCUAUUUUUUUUUUUCAUUGACACCUAUUUAAAGCAGAUCCAGAGACCGGGCCGCAAAUCAGGUUUAUGCACUUAGUUGUGGAGCUGUUCUGUUUACCUUGAGUUAGAAAACACUGACACCACGGGAGAUUGGGAAGCCUUCGGUUCUAGACCAAAAUGGGGCAGGCAAAUUUCCUGUCAUCCAAGCAACGGAAUGAUAAAAGCUUUAAGGCUAAAAGAAAAAAAAUCUCUUUGCGCUUUCUUUUCCGCCCUAAGACACAAGUGGGCAGCAGUAAGAGAGCUGGGCGUUAAAACUGUUUUGUACCUGCUCCAAACGGCCACAAACACAGUACUUUUUAAACCUUUGCCCACCCAGGCCUGGAACAGGGUUUUCCAAAGCUUGGGGCGAUCGGGCUUCAGUCCCCAGCCGUAACUCAGUCCCCUGUUGUCCAGUCACCGUGGGGCCUGCGAAUCGCAGCAAACAGGCUUAGCAUUUAGGCCUCUGUGACAAUCAGGUCCCUGGUGACCUGGAAAGCGGCAAUGAGGGAACUCAGCUGAAUCUUCUCGUUGGUGCCAGCAGAGAGUCUGUACCUAAAAGAAGUCAAACAAAAGGUAAGAAUAGAGAGUAUCACGGGACAGCUGCCUUUUGACAAGGGGACGAGAGACAGCAAAGACAGGGACAGUGUGCUAAAGGAGGAAAGCAGGCAAUCAAACUUGAUCUUGGACAAGGAUCUUCAGUGUGUCCGCUGACGUUCUCCUCUCUGCCCUGAACACUCACUUAUAAAUUCCACUCAAGCUGGUAAGGAAAAAUUAAAUUAAAAAAACUGUUAUCAA